ensembl:lncRNA
CUUACAUAUUUCCUCCUUCCCUUUUACAAGAUAACCCUAAGGGUUCUAAGGGUUGCAAAAGGAUGAAGGGUUGCAGAAGGAUGAAGGUCCGUCUCCUGCAAUUUUUUCAUGCUGAAUAGGGUCUAUGAUAUUCCUGCCUAACUAUUGGGGUCUCUUGUAUUUAGGGUAGAGAGGAGCUCAAUCAGAAAGCAUUAGUCCGUUAAGCAUCGGUUGUACCUCUGAGUUCCAGCAAAAGGUAAAACUCUGGCGCUCCAGCAGUUUCUCAGCUUCCUGUGUGGUUUCCUUGAUCUGUCCCCAUGGUACCUGUUAGUUCCUGCAAGUUCCUGCAAGUCUCUGUCUGUCCCUACCUAUCUCUCUUUCCUUAUCUCUAUUUCCUUAUCUCUACUUAUUUCUUAUUGUCCCUGCAGGCCUCUUCAGGUCCCUUCAGGUCUCUGUCCCUGAUAGUUCCUUUAAGUUUCUGCUAGUCUUUGCUAGUCUCUACUUUUGUAUCUCUUUAGGACACUGACCUUAUAUUGCUCUUAUAUUGCUAGUCUUUGCUAGUCUUUAUCCCUAUCUGUCCCUAUUUGUCCCUGUUCGGGCACCACUUGUGACUGACUGCCAUGGUUACUACUUGAGGCCAUCACUACAACAGUUACUACUGUUACUGCUUGAGACCAUCAUUAUGACUGAACAAAGGGAUAAACACAGAAAUGAUGACAAAAGAAACUAUUUAAAGGAAAGGCUAGCAUGGAGAAGAGGAAGAGAGCUCCCUGCUUCUAGUGAGCAAAGGCAGCCCCCCCUUGAGCUUCUACAGCCCUUCUUAUUAGGUAACAAGAGCAAGGAGGAGGAGGUUAAUUUCUCUCAUGAGAUUGUGGUUGGUUUUUAUCUUAACGGAAAUAAGAAGAAGGAAAACUCAAAUUCUACCAUACUUAAUAGUGGAGGCUGGAAAUGAAGUUGGUGGGGGAAUAGAGGGAGGCAUGUGUGAAGUCGUCUAAUUUCCGGGAUGCAGGGAAUGCUACAGGGCUCGGUGCCACAAGCACCUUGUGCCCUGAGCCAGUCUCCAGGGCUAUGCCCAGUGCUCACUGGGUCUCAGUACCUUGUGUUCUGCCCGGCACUCACAUGAACAACCUGCACACAAUUACUAGGGGCCAAGACGCUGUCUGAGAUGCCAUGUCCUGUUUGGGAAUUGUUUAAAAUAAAAUCAAUGACCCUUCCCUUCUUUAAAACAAUGUUUUGUUUUUACUGUAGAAUAUUUUUAUUUAUAUGAACUUAUGAGAUACAAGGGUAAUUUUGCUACAUUGAUAUAUUGCAUAGUGACAAAAUCAGGGCUUUUAACGUAUGCAUCACUGGACUAAUGUACAUUGUACACAUUAAGUAAUUUAUCACCCACUUCCCUCUCACCCUGAAAGUCUCUAUUGUCUAUCAGGAUGUAAGAAUAUUCUAUGCUUAAGAAGUUUGUUUGAAAUGGAGCACAAAAUUAUUUUGCUCACAAUGAUUCAUUUAUAGAAUUCUGAAAGGAGAUUGGAAGAAAAUGUGAGAACUGAACCCAUAAGAACAUUUUUCUUCCUGUUUCUAUCAGGGGGCAUUUUAACCAUCAGCAUUUUUAUUUACUUGCUCUGGCUUUGGCAUGAUUUGCUAUUGGAGAGACAUAACGAUAUUGUUUUUCUUCUGAUGUAGACAAAAUAUUCAUUUCUAAUCCUGCCGGUAAGUACAAUGCAAAUAAG